UGGGCGUAAAGGGCUCGCAGGCGGUUUCUUAAGUCUGAUGUGAAAGCCCCCGGCUCAACCGGGGAGGGUCAUUGGAAACUGGGGAACUUGAGUGCAGAAGAGGAGAGUGGAAUUCCACGUGUAGCGGUGAAAUGCGUAGAGAUGUGGAGGAACACCAGUGGCGAAGGCGACUCUCUGGUCUGUAACUGACGCUGAGGAGCGAAAGCGUGGGGAGCGAACAGGAUUAGAUACCCUGGUAGUCCACGCCGUAAACGAUGAGUGCUAAGUGUUAGGGGGUUUCCGCCCCUUAGUGCUGCAGCUAACGCAUUAAGCACUCCGCCUGGGGAGUACGGUCGCAAGACUGAAACUCAAAGGAAUUGACGGGGGCCCGCACAAGCGGUGGAGCAUGUGGUUUAAUUCGAAGCAACGCGAAGAACCUUACCAGGUCUUGACAUCCUCUGACAAUCCUAGAGAUAGGACGUCCCCUUCGGGGGCAGAGUGACAGGUGGUGCAUGGUUGUCGUCAGCUCGUGUCGUGAGAUGUUGGGUUAAGUCCCGCAACGAGCGCAACCCUUGAUCUUAGUUGCCAGCAUUCAGUUGGGCACUCUAAGGUGACUGCCGGUGACAAACCGGAGGAAG
rnacentral:rRNA from 1 species